CACUAACAUAUUAUGAAGGUCAAAGUGGUUUGAAACCUUUGUUGUCUUCGUUUCUCUAGAGAAUAGCGAGUUUAUAGUGGUUAGUUCACCAAUUUAGGGAGUAUUAUGAAGUUAUACUAAAUUAAUUGAUAAAAAAUUAAAAGAUGUCCAUGUACCAUGAAAGAGAAGAGUUUAAUAUACAUUAAUACAAAUGUAGAAUGUGUUUAGAAAUUUUAAAACAACGUUAAAUAUCAUAUGCUUCUGUAUAUAGAGUAUUUAUCGAAAAACUCAAUAUUUUCAAAGGGUUAACACAUAGAUUUUGAUAAAAA